rnacentral:lncRNA from 1 species
CGAAGUUCACUUUUGAAAGGUUUAUCAAAGUUUCAAUUACUUAACAUGGAUAUUUGCACUACAGGCCAGGCCAUACAAUCAAUAGUACACUGUCCACCGGAAGAACUACAAGAGAAGUGAGGAAGACAGAUAGAAAGAGAGAGGAAAAGACCUCCUAAAUUUGGAUGGACUUCCCAUGAGUUCAAGUCCUACAUGGAGAUUUCAUUAAAAACACAACUAUCAUACCUGUUGCACAACUUUACUGAAAGUAAGGAAUAAUAAAGAUACAUUUCAGCCUUUGCCCUGGAGGAGAUCUCUUUCACAUUUUUCAGAAUUCUGUCGCCGGGCGCGGUGGCUCAAGCCUGUAAUCCCAGCACUUUGGGAGGCCGAGGCGGGCGGAUCACGCGGUCAGCAGAUGGAGACCAUCCUGGAUAACACAGUGAAACCCCGUCUCUACUAAAAUACAA